AUGGCCCUCGGCCACGAGCUCGUCCACCAUGGUUACUCGCAGUCGUCAAAGUGGAGCACGGACAUCAGUCCAAAUCUGGAGUGGAAGCUUAUAUAUGUUGGAUCAGCUGAAGAUGAGAACUAUUAUCAGCAACUUGAGAGUGUGCUUGUUGGCCCUGUGAAUGUUGGGACAUGCUGUUUUGUUCUGGAGGUUGUGCGUUUACUAACCAGAAGUCUACCCCAGUUGAGCAAAGAAAAUUCUACAUCAGUUCAGACUAAAAAACACCAUAAAUUUAAGAGGAAGAAAAAAAAUUAA
rnacentral:rRNA from 1 species